UACGGAGGGGGCAAGCGUUGUCCGGAAUUACUGGGCGUAAAGAGCUCGUAGGUGGUUUGUCGCGUUGUUCGUGAAAACUCACAGCUCAACUGUGGGCGUGCGGGCGAUACGGGCAGACUAGAGUACUGCAGGGGAGACUGGAAUUCCUGGUGUAGCGGUGGAAUGCGCAGAUAUCAGGAGGAACACCGGUGGCGAAGGCGGGUCUCUGGGCAGUAACUGACGCUGAGGAGCGAAAGCGUGGGGAGCGAACAGG
rnacentral:rRNA from 1 species